CAGGGCGUUUAUAUAUUCGUAUGCAACUGCGUGUUAAAUGAAAAGGUUAAAGAUGGCUACAAGAAGGAGAAAAUAAGGCGCUUAAACGAAUCGAUGAUGAGUUCGUUAUCACUGAAUCUGCAUAACAUGUAGAAAGAAUCGACCGUGAACGACGUGAUUGCGAUUAAGACAACACUGAAUCCGAUCAAUCCGUGUAUUAUGUGCAUCCAUUUUGGUUCGAACCUUCAAAAUGAACGUAUAACCAAACUUGGAGCAUCAGGAAUUUAAUGGAAUAGGAACGACAAACAACGUGUAAAUUUGAUUAAUUCCCAUGACUGAUCUUGACGAUAUCACACAUGAUAUGAAUUGAGUGUAAUAGAAGUGUUCCAUGUUAUGUUUUAUUCAGAUAUUCAUUAUUCAAUUAUUUAUGAGCAUUUGAAGGUUUUCGAAGUUUGUAUUACCAUUAUAGAGAAAAAAUAUCUGAUUUAUUCCGACCACAAAAUCAAAUAUAUGUACGUAAAAUAAUUAAAAAUAUAGAACAUGUAUUGUGUAUAAUAUUUAAUCAAAUCGUAAUGUAUAAUCAGAAAUCACUACUAUUAUAACUGGUCAUAAACUCAUGUUUUGUAUGUGUAUGCUUCAUUGUUUCGAUUCGGAAACAUCAUGUAUCGUUUAAUUUGAUGUCGAACCAAAUUAUAACGGAGUAUGUGGUAUCUACUGGUUAAUAAUUUAAAGCAAAAGUGUUAUGGUAAAAUAAAUUACAGUUCUGUAUUAGAUAUGUAUACAGUUCAUUUGGAUAUGAGGAAUUGUUAGCUUUGUUUCCUAGACGUGUGCGCUUGUUUUUGUAAAAUACAGAGUCUUUGCACACAAAUUGAGAAUCCAAAGUCGCAGAUAUGCUCAAAAUAAUAUUAGUUAUAUGUUACAAUGACGUUGAUAUAGAAUCAAUCAAUCAAUCAACCAAAGUUGAUUGGCAAUCUGGCAUUCUGUAUUUUGCCAAGAAAAUAUAUACAGAAGACAUAUGGUCAGGGAAUCAUACAAUUAUACAAAUAAAAGAUUAGCAAAUAUGACAAUAGUAACAAAUAUGUGUGAAAUUUAAAUACAAAUAUGUUUGUUAGCAUGCAAUUAUACAUCAUGUAGACUAUUUAAAGCAGAACCUCAAAGUUUAAACGCUUCAAUCAAAACAAUUUCGAAAUUCUUUGAGCUUAAGAACAUAAGUACAAAACAUAAUUUAUAUGUGUUUAUUUAUGGUUGGCCAUGAUGUCCGGAUAUUAUAUUUUAUACGCAUAUAUAAUUGACAACAUAAUAAAACGUGAAAUAACGAUUCACAGACAUUCUGGUUUCAAAGUUUACACGGGCGUUCUAUUAAGGACAAUGGGAACUAAAUCAAAAAUGGCUAAUGUGGAUUUUUGACAUUUCAAUGAUAUACAAUCCAAGUAUUUUCAUGUUCGAAGAUUUUUUAGAAUUGAAAGUAGAGUUCAAUUGUGGACUGUGAAGCUAUAGAAUCGCUCUACUGUUGAACAAAUUGGUCUUUGGUUUACAAUAUAACAAUGUGACACGUGAAAUCAGUUGUAUAAAGCAUAAGUCACUAGCCCCGAUUGGCUAACGUUAACUUCAAAGCGUGACAUCAGAGAUUAAUUUUCGCACAAUUUAAAUUUGUUAAAAUAUCCAUCUGUUCCAUAAAAACUUGGUACAAUAAAGAAGUUUGGUUAUUAACAAAUUUCAUCCAAUAAGACUAAACUCUUUUUUUACAUAAAACCGCUAGAACAAAUUUACUUUUAUUUUAUACUAACACAUCCGUAUAUACAUUACACAAUGUUACUAGUUUCAUGUUACUUAUCAGUAAGUCCUAAUGUAUGUAAAUAUAUCAAAUAUGCCUUUUUUUUAAAUACAAUCCCAAAUAAUACUGUGUAAUACAUUUUAUUACUGCUUCGAUAGAACAUACGUGUUUUGCAAUCGAUGUUGUUUAUUUGUAUUUAUAGAGUCUGUCUGUCUGUCUGUCAAUCUAUAUGUCUGUCCGUCUGUCUGUGUAUAUGUCUGUGUAUAUGUGUAUAUGUCUGUAUGUAUGUCUGUCUGUUGGCUGUGUGUCGUUGUGUGUGUUUGUCUGUGUGUCUGUGUUUCUGUGUAUGUAUAUGGACGGUCUGUCUGUCUGUCUGUCUGUCUGUCUGUCUGUCUGUCUGUCUGUCUGUCUGUCUGUCUGUCUGUCUGUCUGUCUGUCUGUCUGUCUGUCUGUCUGUCUGUCUGUCUGUCUGUCUGUCUGUCUGUCUGUCUGUCUGUCUGUCUAUAUGCUAGUCUUCUGUGUGUUUGUUAAAUAUUGCAUGUUAAUACCGCAUAGAUAAAACCUUUUAGGCGCAGUUUGAUAAUCGAUGUAUACCUUUGAAAUGCCUCCAUUUUGACUUUCGAAAUAUUUUAAAUUGAAAACAUGUACACUUUUAAUUAUAUCCAGCAAAAUGUUAAUGCCUAUAUUUUUAUUUUGUUUGUAUUUAUAUAUUAGCUACACAAUUAUAUAAUUCGAUGUUUAAUAGCCUAUUUGUUUAACACUGUAUAUCUACAUGUAGUAUACUGUCA